rnacentral:rRNA from 1 species
UGCCAGCCUCCGCGGUAAUACUGCGUGGGUUAGCUUUGUUCGGAAUUACUGGGCGUAAAGCGCGCGUAGGCGGAUCAGAAAGUUGGGGGUGAAAUCCCGGGGCUCAACCUCGGAACUGCCUCCAAAACUCCUGGUCUUGAGUUCGAGAGAGGUGAGUGGAAUUCCGAGUGUAGAGGUGAAAUUCGUAGAUAUUCGGAGGAACACCAGUGGCGAAGGCGGCUCACUGGCUCGAUACUGACGCUGAGGUGCGAAAGUGUGGGGAGCAAACAGGAUUAGAUA